UACGUAGGGUGCAAGCGUUGUCCGGAAUUAUUGGGCGUAAAGAGCUCGUAGGUGGUCUGUCGCGUCGGAUGUGAAAAUCCAGGGCUCAACCCUGGACCUGCAUUCGAUACGGGCAGACUAGAGUUCGGUAGGGGAGACUGGAAUUCCUGGUGUAGCGGUGAAAUGCGCAGAUAUCAGGAGGAACACCGGUGGCGAAGGCGGGUCUCUGGGCCGAAACUGACGCUGAGGAGCGAAAGCGUGGGGAGCGAACAGG
rnacentral:rRNA from 1 species